rnacentral:rRNA from 1 species
UAAUAGCUCACUGGUCGAGUCGGCCUGCGCGGAAGAUGUAACGGGGCUAAACCAUGCACCGAAGCUGCGGCAGCGACGCUUAUGCGUUGUUGGGUAGGGGAGCGUUCUGUAAGCCUGUGAAGGUGUGCUGUGAGGCAUGCUGGAGGUAUCAGAAGUGCGAAUGCUGACAUAAGUAACGAUAAAGCGGGUGAAAAGCCCGCUCGCCGGAAGACCAAGGGUUCCUGUCCAACGUUAAUCGGGGCAGGGUGAGUCGACCCCUAAGGCGAGGCCGAAAGGCGUAGUCGAUGGGAAACAGGUUAAUAUUCCUGUACUUGGUGUUACUGCGAAGGGGGGACGGAGAAGGCUAUGUUGGCCGGGCGACGGUUGUCCCGGUUUAAGCGUGUAGGCUGGUUUUCCAGGCAAAUCCGGAAAAUCAAGGCUGAGGCGUGAUGACGAGGCACUACGGUGCUGAAGCAACAAAUGCCCUGCUUCCAGGAAAAGCCUCUAAGCAUCAGGUAACAUCAAAUCGUACCCCAAACCGACACAGGUGGUCAGGUAGAGAAUACCAAGGCGCUUGAGAGAACUCGGGUGAAGGAACUAGGCAAAAUGGUGCCGUAACUUCGGGAGAAGGCACGCUGAUAUGUAGGUGAAGUCCCUCGCGGAUGGAGCUGAAAUCAGUCGAAGAUACCAGCUGGCUGCAACUGUUUAUUAAAAACACAGCACUGUGCAAACACGAAAGUGGACGUAUACGGUGUGACGCCUGCCCGGUGCCGGAAGGUUAAUUGAUGGGGUCAGCGCAAGCGAAGCUCUUGAUCGAAGCCCCGGUAAACGGCGGCCGUAACUAUAACGGUCCUAAGGUAGCGAAAUUCCUUGUCGGGUAAGUUCCGACCUGCACGAAUGGCGUAAUGAUGGCCAGGCUGUCUCCACCCGAGACUCAGUGAAAUUGAACUCGCUGUGAAGAUGCAGUGUACCCGCGGCAAGACGGAAAGACCCCGUGAACCUUUACUAUAGCUUGACACUGAACAUUGAGCCUUGAUGUGUAGGAUAGGUGGGAGGCUUUGAAGUGUGGACGCCAGUCUGCAUGGAGCCGACCUUGAAAUACCACCCUUUAAUGUUUGAUGUUCUAACGUUGACCCGUGAUCCGGGUUGCGGACAGUGUCUGGUGGGUAGUUUGACUGGGGCGGUCUCCUCCUAAAGAGUAACGGAGGAGCACGAAGGUUGGCUAAUCCUGGUCGGACAUCAGGAGGUUAGUGCAAUGGCAUAAGCCAGCUUGACUGCGAGCGUGACGGCGCGAGCAGGUGCGAAAGCAGGUCAUAGUGAUCCGGUGGUUCUGAAUGGAAGGGCCAUCGCUCAACGGAUAAAAGGUACUCCGGGGAUAACAGGCUGAUACCGCCCAAGAGUUCAUAUCGACGGCGGUGUUUGGCACCUCGAUGUCGGCUCAUCACAUCCUGGGGCUGAAGUAGGUCCCAAGGGUAUGGCUGUUCGCCAUUUAAAGUGGUACGCGAGCUGGGUUUAGAACGUCGUGAGACAGUUCGGUCCCUAUCUGCCGUGGGCGCUGGAGAACUGAGGGGGGCUGCUCCUAGUACGAGAGGACCGGAGUGGACGCAUCACUGGUGUUCGGGU